AAGACUAUAGACCUGCGGAGUACCUGCGGAGGGAUCAUUACCGAGUUUUCAACUCCCUAACCCUUCUGUGAACCUACCUAUCGUUGCUUCGGCGGACUCGCCCCAGCCCGGACGCGGACUGGACCAGCGGCCCGCCGGGGACCUCAAACUCUUGUAUUCCAGCAUCUUCUGAAUACGCCGCAAGGCAAAACAGAUGAAUCAAAACUUUCAACAACGGAUCUCUAGAUCGGAAGAGCACAC
rnacentral:misc_RNA from 1 species